rnacentral:rRNA from 1 species
UGCAAGUCGAACGCGAAAGGGAUCUUCGGAUCCCCGGUAGAGUGGCGCACGGGUGAGUAACGCGUAAAUAAUCUACCCUGAUGUCUGGAAUAAUUAGCCGAAAGGCUGACUAAUACGGGAUACAUGCUUAGCUGUUGGGUUAAGCAGGAAAGGUGGCCUCUAUUUAUAAGCUAUCGCAUUGGGAUGAGUUUGCGUACCAUUAGCUAGUUGGUGGGGUAAGAGCCCACCAAGGCGACGAUGGUUAGCGGGUCUGAGAGGAUGAUCCGCCACACUGGCACUGGAACACGGGCCAGACUCCUACGGGAGGCAGCAGUGAGGAAUAUUGCGCAAUGGGGGCAACCCUGACGCAGCGACGCCGCGUGAGUGAGGAAGGCCUUCGGGUCGUAAAGCUCUGUCAGCAGGGAAGAAGUGCAUGAUGGCUAAUAUCCAUUGUGUUUGACGGUACCUGCAAAGGAAGCACCGGCUAACUCCGUGCCAGCAGCCGCGGUAAUACGGAGGGUGCGAGCGUUGUUCGGAAUCACUGGGCGUAAAGGGCGCGCAGGCGGUCUUAUAAGUCAGAUGUGAAAGCCCACGGCUUAACUGUGGAAGAGCAUUUGAAACUGCAAGACUUGAGUACCAGAGGGGAAGGUGGAAUUCCCGGUGUAGAGGUGAAAUUCGUAGAUAUCGGGAGGAAUACCGGUGGCGAAGGCGACCUUCUGGC